ACCUGGCAGAGGACCCAGACAUAUCUUGACGAGUUAGUGACCCGCUAGCCGUGGCCGGAGUCGAAAGCGGGGGGUGCGGCGCCGGUGUACAGUCGGCCGUGUACUUGAAGCAGCUGUCGGGCCUCCUCGCCAUGCCACGCCCCCGUUGACCGCCCACAUCAGGCUCUCCCGCUGUCACCAAUUUUAAGAACACAGCUUAACCAAACGCGAAAUUAGAUCUGCGCCAAUAUGGAGGAGUGUGAUUCGGAAUAAAUAUCAUUUGCUG